AGUAUUAAUGUGCAGGUACACUGAAAGCCUACUGUUUCUAAUGGUCAAAGACUACAUCACAAUACUAUAACAUGUCUCAUUCUUUGCAUUGUCAAGAUCAUAUGUGAUGCUGCACAUCUCAUUACAAAUGUGGAGGCCAAGUGGCCCGGUUCUGUUCAUGACUCACGAUACAUUCGUGAGUCAACGCUGAGCAACAGACUGGAAACUGGAGAGAUUGAUGGCUUUCUGCUGGGAGAUAGGGGUUACCCAUGCCGACCAACACUAAUUACCCCUUACCCAGAACCUGAACCAGGCCCCCAGCGCCGCUUCAAUGUGGCACACUGCAGGACGAGAGCCCGGGUGGAGAUGACCAUAGGCCUGUUGAAAGCACGUUUCCAGUGCCUACGUCACCUCAGGGUAACCCCUGAAAGGGCCUGCGACAUUAUUGUGGCAUGUGUUGUUCUCCAUAAUAUUGCCAUAAUUAGAGGGGAGCAACACCCUGCCCUACAAAUACAAGACCCAGAGGAAGACCCCAUCAACCCGGCAGAUUUCCAGGAGGGAAGGGUAGUCCGGGAUAUGAUAUGCCGAAAUGUCUUCACAGAUUAAUACACAUUAUAUCCACCACCACAACCAACCAACCACAAAAUAAAAUAAAAAUGAAUAAACACAAAAUCACAGCAA